rnacentral:lncRNA from 1 species
GGGGAAAAUUGAAAGGCAAUUGAAAAGUAUUGAGCUCAAAAGUUGUGAAAGAAAAAUACAUGAGAAAAAGAAAAGAAAGAAGAAAAGCAUGAAGAUGGGCUCAAGGCAAAAGAAAAAGGGGAAAAGUUGGGAAUAAGAGAGAUUGCUGAGGAAGAGAGUUGUGCUUAAAUGUUGAAUACUAUAGUAGCUCUCUUAACUCAAGGAUUUUACAUUCCAGAAAAACCAAUUUUUCUUGUUAGCCCAGCCUCAUUACAAGCCUUGGAAAAGUCCUUUUGAUGGCAUUUGCAUGUAAGAAUUUUGAUUGUUUUAGAUGAAUG